rnacentral:rRNA from 1 species
AGUGAACGCUGGCGGUAGGCCUAACACAUGCAAGUCGAACGGCAGCACAGUAAGAGCUUGCUCUUACGGGUGGCGAGUGGCGGACGGGUGAGGAAUACAUCGGAAUCUACUUUUUCGUGGGGGAUAACGUAGGGAAACUUACGCUAAUACCGCAUACGACCUACGGGUGAAAGCAGGGGAUCUUCGGACCUUGCGCGAUUGAAUGAGCCGAUGUCGGAUUAGCUAGUUGGCGGGGUAAAGGCCCACCAAGGCGACGAUCCGUAGCUGGUCUGAGAGGAUGAUCAGCCACACUGGAACUGAGACACGGUCAAGACUCCUACGGGAGGCAGCGGUGGGGAAUAUUGGACAAGGGGGGAAGGCCUAAUCCAGCCAUACCGCGUGGGGGAAGAAGUCCUUCGGGUUGUAAAGCCCUUUUGUUGGGAAGGAAAAGCAGCAGGGUAAUAACCCGCUGUUCUGACGGUACCCUAAGAAUAAGCAACGGCUAACUUCGUG